GACAGCUGCAGAGGGGCUCACUCCUCCCACGGCACAGCACGGCACAGCACGGCACGGCACGGCACGGCACGGCACGGCUCCGCCACGCACCCCCGCAAAGUUCUUUACCCCAGAAACUGCUGCAGAGUGCCUUAGGAUAUGUUUCUGCUGUUACUUCUAAACACCUGGAAAAAAUUAUAGGGGAAGCGUGACUCAAGCCGUCUGUCACUGAGCAGAACUGCUGAGAGGGGAUGGCUGCUCAUUUCCAGACCCUUCCAGGCCUUGGGAAAACUCUGACAGCAGUGAGGUGCUUGGCUAAAAACUGCAUGUCAUGGGUUUGUGAGCAACAUAUAAAAUGCUGUGUGCAUACAUGUUUAUAUACCUAAAAUUAUAUAACAUAUAUACACACAUAUAUAUGUAUGUAUACAGAUCCAUAUAUAUAAUCUAUACUUUUAAUUUUUUUUACACACCAAACCAGCAGUCUGUGUUUUGGCAGAUGUUUUGCGAACUGUCUCAGUAUGGGAUGGAAAAUAAAAGAAUCUUUAUACGUGGUAUCUAACGUUAGAAACUUCCAAUGAUACACUACACCACAUUUCCACUUAUUCCAAAUUUUCCUCGGUGCUCAUUUUUAAAUUUAAACAAUCUACAUGAAAAACACUAUCCUCUUUUUUUUUUUUCCUCCUGAAACCUCUUCUCUCUUCUGCUUGCUUCAGUUUUAAAUGUUUGCUUACAAAAGAAAGGAAAAAAACCCACCAAAACCCAACCACCUUCAAAUAAAUGCUUUUAAAUGCACUAACAGCAUUAAUUUUCCAGAAUAAAUCUUUCACUGCAAAGGGCAGUUCUUCCUCUUGAUGUUUGAAACACCGAGAGAAAUACAUACUUGGGAAUGUUUGGUGGGUCUCGGUUGCUCAAAAGCAAGAUGUAAAUUUAAUGAGACUUCAAAAGGUCUUUAACUUCCUCGUUCUAAGAUCACCGUUCUAAAUAAGCCACCUAAAAUGUCAAUAAACGUCAAAUAUUUCAG